rnacentral:rRNA from 1 species
GACGUAGGGCGCGAGCGUUGUCCGGAUUUAUUGGGCGUAAAGAGCUCGUAGGCGGCUCGUUGCGUCGGCUGUGAAAACCCGGGGCUCAACCCCGGGCCUGCAGUCGAUACGGGCGAGCUAGAGUUCGGCAGGGGAGACUGGAAUUCCUGGUGUAGCGGUGAAAUGCGCAGAUAUCAGGAGGAACACCGGUGGCGAAGGCGGGUCUCUGGGCCGAUACUGACGCUGAGGAGCGAAAGCGUGGGGAGCGAACAGG